CUUCAGGGUCACUGGUCUAGACCCAGUAUCUCCCUGGCAGAGGGUGGGCCAGCCCAUUCUCCUCCUGGCAGCUGCUACAUUGGCCCUGAUGAUUGCUCCCUGCCGCGACACUGCAAACAAGCCUGCUUCCUGUCACUCGGGGUGAACUUGGUCAAAGGUUGACGGUCUCACCUGAUUUAGUCAUGAAAAUCAACUUACCAGCUGGACUCUUCUCACCAGGUCUCCAGCCUGCCAGGCAGGAAACUCAGGCUACAGAUACAGCUGGAACCGGCGAGGGGGCAGCGUGUCCGAGGCCCCGGAGCUGGGCUGGGGCACUGGCAUUCCUGAGCGUCCUAGACCUUGACCGCACUGCAGCCGGGCCCCACCCAGUCCAGAGAAAGGUGAGUCUGGUGUCACCAGCCUCCAGGUCACGCAGGGCCCAGCCCAGAAGCAAGUGAGUAAGAGUCCAGCAGAGCCCGACAAGGAGUAGUAAGAGGAAGAAGGACUCAGUCUCGCUGUUGGGAAGUUCCUGCUCUUGAUGACUCAUUCUUCCAUUAACCUGCCAUGAUAGGCUGCAUCACUGAUAUUCUGCAAAGGAGGAAAAUGUGGCUCAGAGGGUUUAGGUGCUGCUGCUGCUGCUAUGUCGCUUCAGUUGUGUCCAACUCUGUGCAACCCCAUAGACGGCAGCCCACCAGGCUCCCCUGUCCCUGGGAUUCUCCAGGCAAGAACACUGGAGUGGGUUGCCAUUUCCUUCUCCAAUGCAUGAAAAUGAAGUUACUUAGUCGUGUCUGACUCUUAGCGACCCCAUGGACUGCAGCCUACCAGGCUCCUCCAUCUAUGGGAUUUUCCAGGCAAGAGUACUGGAGCAGGGUGCCAUUGCUUUCUCCGGGGUUUAGGUGAGGUUUCCUAAACUUGCCUCACAAUGAAAAGCCCUUGAGAAGCUUACAAAAGAUACAUCUUCCUUGGCCCCAGCCCAGACCUGCUGGGUCCACAGCUCCUAGGGAAUCAGGCUUUUAAUAAAGUCCUUUAGUGAUUCCUCUUAGGCA
rnacentral:lncRNA from 1 species